GGGGUUGUAGCUCAGUGGUGGAGCACUCACCUAGCACAUGUGAGGCCCUGGGUUCAAUCCUCAGCACCA
rnacentral:tRNA from 1 species